UACGGAGGGUGCAAGCGUUAUCCGGAUUCACUGGGUUUAAAGGGUGCGUAGGCGGAUAUGUAAGUCCGUGGUGAAAUCUCUGGGCUUAACCCGGAAACUGCCAUGGAUACUAUGUGCCUUGAAUGUUGUUGAGGUGAGCGGAAUAUGUCAUGUAGCGGUGAAAUGCUUAGAUAUGACAUAGAACACCAAUUGCGAAGGCAGCUCACUAAGCAAAUAUUGACGCUGAGGCACGAAAGCGUGGGGAUCAAACAGG
rnacentral:rRNA from 1 species